rnacentral:pre_miRNA from 1 species
UAACGACAAGAUUGAUGAAGAAGAUGAGGAAGCAAUUGAUGUAACAGAAAGAGAAGGGCCUUCUCGAAAGGCUCUUCUCUCGCCGUUACAUCAAUUGCUUCCUCAUCUUCUUCAUCACACGUA